GAGUAACCUGCCCUUGACUCUGGGAUAAGCCUGGGAAACUGGGUCUAAUACUGGAUACUACCUCUUACCGCAUGGUGGGUGGUGGAAAGGGUUUUACUGGUUUUGGAUGGGCUCACGGCCUAUCAGCUUGUUGGUGGGGUAAUGGCUCACCAAGGCGACGACGGGUAGCCGGCCUGAGAGGGUGACCGGCCACACUGGGACUGAGACACGGCCCAGACUCCUACGGGAGGCAGCAGUGGGGAAUAUUGCACAAUGGGCGGAAGCCUGAUGCAGCGACGCCGCGUGAGGGAUGACGGCCUUCGGGUUGUAAACCUCUUUCAGUAGGGAAGAAGCGAGAGUGACGGUACCUGCAGAAGAAGCGCCGGCUAACUACGUGCCAGCAGCCGCGGUAAUACGUAGGGCGCAAGCGUUGUCCGGAAUUAUUGGGCGUAAAGAGCUCGUAGGCGGUUUGUCGCGUCUGCUGUGAAAGCCCGGGGCUCAACCCCGGGUCUGCAGUGGGUACGGGCAGACUAGAGUGCAGUAGGGGAGACUGGAAUUCCUGGUGUAGCGGUGAAAUGCGCAGAUAUCAGGAGGAACACCGAUGGCGAAGGCAGGUCUCUGGGCUGUUACUGACGCUGAGGAGCGAAAGCAUGGGGAGCGAACAGGAUUAGAUACCCUGGUAGUCCAUGCCGUAAACGUUGGGCACUAGGUGUGGGGGAC
rnacentral:rRNA from 1 species